GAUGAACGCUGGCGGCGUGCUUAAUACAUGCAAGUCGAACGAAGAGCUUUGUAGCAAUACGAGGCUUCUUAGUGGCGAACGGGUGCGUAACGCGUUGGUGACCUGCCCCGAAGUGUGGGAUAACAGUUCGAAAGGAUUGCUAAUACCGCAUGUGGUUUUCCGGAUCAGAUGCCGGAUCUCUAAAGCAGUAAUGCGCUUCGGGAGGGACCUGCGUCCCAUCAGCUAGUUGGUGAGGUAACGGCCCACCAAGGCUACGACGGGUAGGGGACCUGAGAGGGUGGUCCCCCACACUGGCACUGAAACACGGGCCAGACACCUACGGGUGGCAGCAGUAGGGAAUAUUGGGCAAUGGGCGAAAGCCUGACCCAGCAACGCCGCGUGCACGAUGAAGGUCUUCGGAUCGUAAAGUGCUUUUCUGAGAGAUGAGAAAGGACAGUAUCUCAGGAAUAAGUCUCGGCUAACUACGUGCCAGCAGCCGCGGUAAUAC
rnacentral:rRNA from 1 species